rnacentral:rRNA from 1 species
UACAGAGGUCCCAAGCGUUGUUCGGAUUCACUGGGCGUAAAGGGUGCGUAGGUGGCGUGGUAAGUUUGAUGUGAAAGCUCAGGGCUUAACCCUGAAAUGGCAUUGAAUACUACUGUGCUGGAGGUUUGGAGGGGGGACUGGAAUUCUUGGUGUAGCAGUGAAAUGCGUAGAUAUCAAGAGGAACACCGGAGGUGAAGACGGGUUGCUGGGCUGACACUGACGCUGAGGCGCGAAAGCUAGGGUAGCAAACGGG